AGAAAGACAAAGACAAGAACAUCAGCCUCACAGAUUGCCAAGAUGCUGCAUAAAGGGAACCGCUCGCAUCGGGCGUCAAAGGCUAGUAUGAAUAUGGUCUGCAUUGAUAUCUUAAAAAAGGCUGGUUCGAGGCAGAAAUGCUUGAGUAUGUUAAAGAGCUGGCUUUGAAUGGUAUGUGGCGCAUCCCAACACUUGGUCAUUGAUGUGUGGACUUUUUGACAACAUGCGCCCUUCCUCUCGUUUUCCUGUUUUACUAGUGGUUAAUUGCUUUGAGCAUCUUUCAAGAACCAGCCAAUCGCAGCCAACCUUCGCCAUUCAACAAGAAAGAGAAGAGCUUCUGUAGAUCUGGAAGAUUACACUGGCAAUUCCGGAGCAGAGGAUGAAGACUUAAUGUUUACAAUGGAGAUGAUUACACUGGAUCGAGGAUUGUAAGCAGAGCUUAUGAGCUCUGAGAUGCGGUAAAGGCGCAAGUCUCUUUGAUCUCAUAAGUGCAUGCGAUGCUAUCACAGAUGGACCCAACAUUGGUUACGUAUUGUGACAAGAUCGCAGCUCCUGAUGAUCUGAGAGGAUCUAUCCUUGUUUUAGCUCCCAUUGUCCAGAUGGGAACCGUCACUAGGGCCAGUGCCCGGCUAUGAAAUGUGCAACCCGAGGUUAAUCUGGAUGAAAGUUAUGAAACUCUGAAACGGCCCAAGAAAAGCACCGAUACUGCACAUUCAGACAAAUCACAUCAUCACCAAGAGUCGGACCAAGCAAAUCCAACUCACGAGCUAUUGUCACUGCCUACCGAGUCAAACGCGUCAGACCCGAGAAGGAGAAGGAGAAGUAGAAGAAGCAUCUGCAGAAGAUGUGGAUAUGUCAGAAAGCGGAAAUUCAAGCCUGGUGGAAUCUGUCAAGGGGCUUUUGUUAGAGCGUAUGGAAAACUACGGCGUUCCACAGCUGGAGAGGCUCUAUACCAUCAUCAUGAAGGCUGUUUUUGAGAGAAAGGACAAAGGGUUUGGUCUUGAUGAUCCCAAGGUUUCAAUUUUUCACGUAUUUUUCUGAGUAGGUUAAGAACCCUAAAACUCUUAUAUAUAUAUGAUAUAUAUUAGGGUUAAGAUUACAAAGAA